UCCCUGGUGGUCCAGUGGUUGACUCUGCACUCUCAGUGCAGGAGGUACAGGUUCAAUCCCUGGUCAGGGAA
rnacentral:tRNA from 1 species